UCCAGGGUAGCCUAGUGGACAUGGCAUCUGCCCGGUAAGCGGAACGUUGUGGGUUCGAUAACCGCCCCUGGAC
rnacentral:tRNA from 1 species